rnacentral:rRNA from 1 species
UGAGGAAUAUUGGGCAAUGGGCGAAAGCCUGACCCAGCAACGCCGCGUGGAGGAUGAAGGCCCUCGGGUUGUAAACUCCUUUUCUGGGAGAAGAGACAAGGACGGUAUCCCAGGAAUAAGUCUCGGCUAACUACGUGCCAGCAGCCGCGGUAAAACGUAGGAGGCUAGCGUUAUCCGGAUUCACUGGGCGUAAAGCGCACGCAGGCGGUUAUGUAAGUCGGACGUGAAAGCUCCCGGCUCAACUGGGAGAAGUCGUUCGAUACUGCGUAACUUGAGGUUGGGAGAGGGGAGCGGAAUUCCCGGUGUAGUGGUGGAAUGCGUAGAUAUCGGGAGGAACACCAGUGGCGAAAGCGGCUCCCUGGCCCAUACCUGACGCUCAGGUGCGAAAGCGUGGGUAGCGAACGGG